rnacentral:rRNA from 1 species
CUAGCCUACUAAAUAGUUUCGCGAUCCCGCUUGCGUCGGUGCUAACUUUUUAGAGGGACAAGUGGCGUUUAGCCACACGAGAUUGAGCAAUUACAGGUUUCUGAUGCCCUUAGAUGUCCGGGGCAGAACGCGCGCUACAUUGAAAGAAUCAGCGUCGAUGCUUACAUGAAAGGAAAGGGUUGGGAGACCCGUUGCGUUUCCCUGGUGAUAGGGAUUAGGGCUUGAAAUUCUUCCCCAUGAACGAGGAAUUCCCAGUAAGCGCGAGUCAUAAGCUCGCGUUGGUUACGUCCCUGCCCUUUGUCCACACCGCCCGUCGCUACUACCGAUUGAACGGUUUAGUGAGGGCCUCGAAUUUCUUUCGCCCCAGGAUUGACCCGGAGGGACCGGGGGUCGAGAAGACGGUGGAGGUUGAUGCUUUGGAGGAAGUAAAAGUCCUAGCAAGGUUUCCGUAGGUGAACCUGCGGAAGGAUCAUUAA